UGUGAGUUAAACCAGGUAUAUACGGUUCAUCAUCCAGCAACAGUUCGUCAACUUUUGACAGAUCUUUAUUUGUAGGGUCAAGAUCACUGCUCCUCACAUCAUCAGCACGCUCCUUAACCCUGAUAAUACAUGUACCAACAUAUGGCACCAUGGCCAUUAGUCAGCGACAACUAUGGAGGAGAUAUUUUACAGAUGGAAAAUAUAAUAUUCAUUCUCACUAUAAAAGCCAGUUCAAGCACCUUCUACUCAAAGUUUAUUUCUGACCCGAUGCGGCCAAAGUUUUGGUCAAAGAAGUCAACGAGUUGAAGAUAUGAUUUGAUUCAUGGUAAAGAAGCCAUACGUUAAAGCUCAUAAGUGUAGCAUCACUUCUUGAUAAAAAAUAUUAAACUUUGAUCUGAUUAAAACUUUUACAUGAUCAAAUUUUUACAGCAGCUUAAAAUAAAUUAGCAGAACCAGAAACUGAACCUUAUAAUGCACUGAAAAUACUUUUUGAGGGUGUGGAACAAACAAGGUAGCUGCUACUGGUGUCGUGAGCAAUCCAUAGCAGCAGCAUGCUGGCUCAUCUCAAGAGGUUUGUUAUUUCAACGGAAAUCACUCAUUGACAGUAAUUGUAAUAGUAUUUGCAGUAUUGCACAGUUCUCUGGAAAUCAUUUUUUUUCUAACCGUAAUCAAGGCACUGUUGAGAAAAUGAAAAGGACUAAAAAGGGAAGUUCAACCAGACCGACAAUGCACAGAGGAUUUGGCCCCCUGGAUUGGAAUUGUUGUCCAUGCAGUGCUGAAGGCAUGGAGCCAUGGACAGCUGCUGAUGGUGAGGGCAAAGCAAAGCCAACCCUUUCACCAGUGAAAAGAAUAGUGUGGGGGAGUUCUAAGCUGUGGAACUUAGGUAUCGUAUCACACUAUCACUCCUUUGGGCCCAGUUAGUUCAGUCCAGCUUGACUUAGUUUGGAUUACCAACUUAUAUAGUAGUUGGGACACUGACGCAUAUUGAGACUUGCAGAUGCUACUCUCUGAUUACAUAAAGAAGAAAGGCAAUGCAAAACAGGAGCUAACUCAGUAGCAUAGGAGGAUAGUGAAGAACAGGCCUCGGAUCACUGGGGUCACAGUGGUGGCUUUUUGAUCGUAUAAGGGGAAAGUGCAACACUACUAGACAGAACUUUUAAGUACCUCGCCAAGAGGUGCUAGGAUAAGCAGUAGUAAUAUUUAAUUACCCAGGGCAGUAUGCGCCUAUUCAUAGUAUUAAUGCAGAAUAUAUUACUAGGUUCAGGGUGGGCAUUGGCUUAAUUCAGUUCCCUUUGUACUAAUUGCAAAGGCAGCAGUGAAAGCAUAUGCAGUGACAAUGCAAAAUCAACAGGAGUUUGGAAAAUUUACGGUAUCUAUCUAGACACCACCAUGAUCACCCUCGACUAGCUUGGUUAGUUUCGAAUGUUACUUUCUUAUAAAUCAGCUACAGUUAAUAGGUUCUGUUACAGCAAGAUGUCCAUUUGAAAUUGCAAAAAAUAGUCAUAUGAUUAAUUUUUCGUAAACAUAACUCAUAUUUAUAACCACGGGUACACAUUCAUAUAGCUAAAAUGAAAAGGGAAAAAUAAUUAGUGGAACUUACGGUAAGGUUAGUGAGUCUGCUUCUCUUCUUUUCCGUCUAGGCUGCCUUUUCCGCUGUGAAUAGAGAGAACUCUGUCGAAUAUGAGUUUUACUUCCAGCUUCUGCGUGUCCAGGUUCCCUG
rnacentral:lncRNA from 1 species